UCAGAUCCACGAGGUGAAGUUUCUAGAUACACUCUUCUGAUCUUCUAUUCAUCGCGUUCAGCUCGGAAUAUUCUGUUUUUGUUUCUCUGAUUGGAUUCGAUUGCGACCAUCGUCAUCUGAGAUUCAAACGAGAUUUCAAUCGAACCGAUUGAAAUUGGAAUCUAGAAACCACGAUCUGCUCAUUGCUUAGGCUUCAAUCAAAUUAUCGUCGUCAUUAUUCGUAGCUUGAUUUUCUGCUCAGGAUUUCAAAAGCGGGAUGAGCGAGAUGAACGUGUUCAGAUCGAGGAGCAAUGUGGAAACCAGCUGAAGAGAGGCGCUUGAGAUUAGCCAUAAGACUCUUAAAGAAGAGAACGAAAGGCUGAAGAAGCUGUAUACCGAAUCGUUAAACAACUUCGUCGAUCAGCUUGAGCAUCGAACUAAGUGCCACAGCUUGAAAGAAGAGCUGAAAAGAAUGAAUGAUGAAAAUAGAAGCAAAGAGCAUGUGAGACUCCAAACAAAAGCUUUUUCAGCAAGUUAAGCUUUUUCAGAAAGACAAAACACACAAAAUCUCUGAACCAGUUCCGAGCUCAACAUUUUUCAUCCUCACUGUAUCUAUCAGUCACGUUGUUUCUCAACAAGCCAAGCUUCUUCUCUGUUUCUCUCACGUAAAGCAUUUGAACAACUCAUGGCUCCCUCUCACAACAUUCCACUUUGUAGUCUCACCUCCACUGAUGAAUCCAAACUUGACUUAAAUGCUCUGUCUUUGAGCGUUUCCUUCCAUGGGUGGAGAGAGGCGAACUCAGCUUUCAAGUCUUGGGCUAUAAAAAUGUCAUCUUUACACAGACCCACAUAGAGAAAAGCUGGGAUCUUCGAAUCAGUCAUGGCAUCUACCAAAGGACUCAACAAAGACACAAAGAAACCAAGAGCUACUGGUUAGUUCAAUAUCAUUGAUCAAUUUGAAGUUUUUUGAUUGUGUAUUGUGGUAAAGUUUGUUGUAGUGAAAGUGUUUUAUAAAUUUCUUUUAAGAAUCCAUAAUUAAGAGACUUGCAAUAAAGUACUUAAAUGUUCAAAUCUC